rnacentral:rRNA from 1 species
GAUGAACGCUGGCGGCGUGCCUAAUACAUGCAAGUCGAGCGAACAGACGAGGAGCUUGCUCCUCUGACGUUAGCGGCGGACGGGUGAGUAACACGUGGAUAACCUACCUAUAAGACUGGGAUAACUUCGGGAAACCGGAGCUAAUACCGCAUAAUAUAUUGAACCGCAUGGUUCAAUAGUGAAAGACGGUUUUGCUGUCACUUAUAGAUGGAUCCGCGCCGCAUUAGCUAGUUGGUAAGGUAACGGCUUACCAAGGCAACGAUGCGUAGCCGACCUGAGAGGGUGAUCGGCCACACUGGAACUGAGACACGGUCCAGACUCCUACGGGAGGCAGCAGUAGGGAAUCUUCCGCAAAGGGCGAAAGCCUGACGGAGCAACGCCGCGUGAGUGAUGAAGGUCUUCGGAUCGUAAAACUCUGUUAUUAGGGAAGAACAAAUGUGUAAGUAACUAUGCACGUCUUGACGGUACCUAAUCAGAAAGCCACGGCUAACUACGCG